UUUCCCUUUUCUUGUAACUGUAGUUUCAGAGAUGAGAGAUAUCUCUGCUAGGGUUUUUUCAAUAAUGCUCAUGUUCUUCUCCCAUCUCUGCAGCUACCACUGUCGCUAUUGCUGUCUUCACUCAGCACUGCCACCACCACUUCUACUGCCGCCACACCACACUUUCCGAUCCUCUGCGUUGUUGCGUUUUGUCUCUGCUCCUGCGAACUACUCAGAGCAAAUUCUCUGCCGUCUACAAACGAGUUCUCAGAGAUGGUUCUUCUGUGGUCAUCAGAAGUAUUAAUGUGACAUGCUGCAUACCUGAGGAAAUUGAAUUCUUGAAGGGAUUGAGCCUGCUAACCUCACUGAGACAUGAAAACAUUAUAAAGAUGAGAGGUUUUUGUUACUCAAGUAGUAGAGGUGAAUGUUACCUUGUCUAUGAUUUUGUAACCGGUGAAUGUCUAUGAUUUUGUUAUCUUGAUAUGGAAGAUGGAAGUGAAAAUGUGCUUGAGUCUUCUAAUAGGGUUUCCAUCAUCAAGGGCAAUGCAAAAGGGUAGUUCUUUUUCGACACCCAAUAUUUUCUAAGAAACUCAUUGUAGAUCAGAAAAUUUGCCUCUUUCUUACAACAAGGUCUUGGAUAUCUGCACAGCAAUGAAGCAAGCAAACCUACAAUGGUUCACCAAAAUAUUUUAGUUCAAAAAGUUCUUCUUGACAAUCAGUUUAACCCAUUGAUCAUGGAUGCUGGGUUCCCCAAGCUUCUAGCAGACGACAUUGUUUACUCGGCACCGAAAGUUGGUGCUGCCAUGGGAUACCUAGCUCCUGAAUACAUUACCACUGGACGCAUCACCGAGAAGAGCGACGUUUAUGCAUUCGGUGUCAUUGUUCUUUAAGUCCUGUCUGGAAAGACAACAGUAGGGGGUUCAAUCAGAAUGGCAGUUGAGUUUUUGAGAUUUGAUGAUUUAAUGGACACAAAUCUAAAGGAAAAAUAUUCGAAACUAGAAGCAGCAAUUCUUUCAAAGAUUGCAGUGAUGUGCAUUCAUGAGCUUUCUGAGCAAAGGCCAAAUAUGGUAAAGGUGAUUCAGGAACUAAGCAAGUAUUCUUCUCAUUCUUCAUGAUCUAGAACUUUCAGUGGGUAUCAUAAAUUCCUAACACAUUUGAUUCAUUCAUGACCAUGGUUUUCUUUAGUAUAUUCACUGAAUUAUCCAUUGCUAAAUUGUUGUGAACUUCAACGGAAUCAUGCUGCUUCAUUUCUGCACACAACUGAAAUUGUUGAAGGAUGUUCCUUUAUUGGAAAUCAAAUAGCUUCCAGAUAAUGAAUUAAAUUGUUAAUAAUCUCGGUGGAAGCAAUUUAACUGUUUCCAAAAUAAGAGCAUGAAUAUACCAACGUCAGAUAGGGGCAAGAAUCUGCACUAUAAGCACACGAAGUAAUCAUAGUGGUAUAAGCCGCAAGUUCUUCGUUGACAAUUUUCAUCAAACGCCUUAUAUGCAUCAUCCAUUCUCCCAUAUUUUGUAUCAUAGAAGAUUCCUACAGAAAGUAACCGCUAAUUAUAAUAGUUUAGUAGU